GAUGAACGCUGGCGGCGUGCUUAACACAUGCAAGUCGAACGAUGAAGCCCAGCUUGCUGGGUGGAUUAGUGGCGAACGGGUGAGUAACACGUGAGUAACCUGCCCUUGACUCUGGGAUAAGCCCGGGAAACUGGGUCUAAUACCGGAUAGGAGCGCCUGUCGCAUGACGGGUGUUGGAAAGAUUUUUCGGUCAUGGAUGGACUCGCGGCCUAUCAGCUUGUUGGUGAGGUAAUGGCUCACCAAGGCGACGACGGGUAGCCGGCCUGAGAGGGUGACCGGCCACACUGGGACUGAGACACGGCCCAGACUCCUACGGGAGGCAGCAGUGGGGAAUAUUGCACAAUGGGCGGAAGCCUGAUGCAGCGACGCCGCGUGAGGGAUGACGGCCUUCGGGUUGUAAACCUCUUUCAGUAGGGAAGAAGCG
rnacentral:rRNA from 1 species